rnacentral:rRNA from 1 species
AGAGUUUGAUCAUGGCUCAGGACGAACGCUGGCGGCGUGCUUAACACAUGCAAGUCGAGCGGAAAGGCCUUUCGGGGUACUCGAGCGGCGAACGGGUGAGUAACACGUGAGUAACCUGCCCCAGUCUUUGGGAUAACCCUCGGAAACGGGGGCUAAUACCGGAUAUUCCCGCGGGAUCGCAUGGUUUUGUGGGGAAAGUUUUUCGGUCUGGGAUGGGCUCGCGGCCUAUCAGCUUGUUGGUGGGGUGAUGGCCUACCAAGGCGACGACGGGUAGCCGGCCUGAGAGGGCGACCGGCCACACUGGGACUGAGACACGGCCCAGACUCCUACGGGAGGCAGCAGUGGGGAAUAUUGCACAAUGGGCGGAAGCCUGAUGCAGCGACGCCGCGUGAGGGAUGACGGCCUUCGGGUUGUAAACCUCUUUCAGCAGGGACGAAGCGUGAGUGACGGUACCUGCAGAAGAAGCGCCGGCCAACUACGUGCCAGCAGCCGCGGUAAGACGUAGGGCGCGAGCGUUGUCCGGAUUUAUUGGGCGUAAAGGGCGCGUAGGCGGCUUGGCAAGUCGAGUGUGAAAUCCCUUGGCUUAACUGAGGAAUGGCGCUCGAAACUACCUCGCUAGAGGGCGGGAGAGGGAAGUGGAACUCUCGGUGUAGGGGUGAAAUCUGUAGAUAUCGAGAGGAACACCGGUGGCGAAGGCGGCUUCCUGGCCCGUACCUGACGCUGAGGCGCGAAAGCGUGGGGAGCAAACAGGAUUAGAUACCCCCGUAGUCC